UAAAGCGGGUGAAAAGCCCGCUCGCCGGAAGACCAAGGGUUCCUGUCCAACGUUAAUCGGGGCAGGGUGAGUCGACCCCUAAGGCGAGGCCGAAAGGCGUAGUCGAUGGGAAACAGGUUAAUAUUCCUGUACUUGGUGUUACUGCGAAGGGGGGACGGAGAAGGCUAUGUUGGCCGGGCGACGGUUGUCCCGGUUUAAGCGUGUAGGCUGGUUUUCCAGGCAAAUCCGGAAAACCAAGGCUGAGGCGUGAUGACGAGGCACUACGGUGCUGAAGUGACAAAUGCCCUGCUUCCAGGAAAAGCCUCUAAGCAUCAGGUAACAUCAAAUCGUACCCCAAACCGACACAGGUGGUCAGGUAGAGAAUACCAAGGCGCUUGAGAGAACUCGGGUGAAGGAACUAGGCAAAAUGGUGCCGUAACUUCGGGAGAAGGCACGCUGAUAUGUAGGUGAAGCGACUUGCUCGUGGAGCUGAAAUCAGUCGAAGAUACCAGCUGGCUGCAACUGUUUAUUAAAAACACAGCACUGUGCAAACACGAAAGUGGACGUAUACGGUGUGACGCCUGCCCGGUGCCGGAAGGUUAAUUGAUGGGGUUAGCGGUAACGCGAAGCUCUUGAUCGAAGCCCCGGUAAACGGCGGCCGUAACUAUAACGGUCCUAAGGUAGCGAAAUUCCUUGUCGGGUAAGUUCCGACCUGCACGAAUGGCGUAAUGAUGGCCAGGCUGUCUCCACCCGAGACUCAGUGAAAUUGAACUCGCUGUGAAGAUGCAGUGUACCCGCGGCAAGACGGAAAGACCCCGUGAACCUUUACUAUAGCUUGACACUGAACAUUGAGCCUUGAUGUGUAGGAUAGGUGGGAGGCUUUGAAGUGUGGACGCCAGUCUGCAUGGAGCCGACCUUGAAAUACCACCCUUUAAUGUUUGAUGUUCUAACGUUGGCCCCUAAUCGGGGUUGCGGACAGUGUCUGGUGGGUAGUUUGACUGGGGCGGUCUCCUCCUAAAGAGUAACGGAGGAGCACGAAGGUUGGCUAAUCCUGGUCGGACAUCAGGAGGUUAGUGCAAUGGCAUAAGCCAGCUUGACUGCGAGCGUGACGGCGCGAGCAGGUGCGAAAGCAGGUCAUAGUGAUCCGGUGGUUCUGAAUGGAAGGGCCAUCGCUCAACGGAUAAAAGGUACUCCGGGGAUAACAGGCUGAUACCGCCCAAGAGUUCAUAUCGACGGCGGUGUUUGGCACCUCGAUGUCGGCUCAUCACAUCCUGGGGCUGAAGUAGGUCCCAAGGGUAUGGCUGUUCGCCAUUUAAAGUGGUACGCGAGCUGGGUUUAGAACGUCGUGAGACAGUUCGGUCCCUAUCUGCCGUGGGCGCUGGAGAACUGAGGGGGGCUGCUCCUAGU
rnacentral:rRNA from 1 species